GCAAGUCGAGGGGUAAGGUCAAGCUUGCUUGACACACGACCGGCGCACGGGUGCGUAACGCGUAUGCAACCUACCCUUAACAGAGGGAUAGCCCCGAGAAAUCGGGAUUAAUACCUCAUAACACUGCGAUAUGGCAUCACAAUGCAGUUAAAACUCCGGUGGUUAAAGAUGGGCAUGCGUGACAUUAGUUAGUUGGUGAGGUAACGGCUCACCAAGACUACGAUGUCUAGGGGUUCUGAGAGGAUGAUC
rnacentral:rRNA from 1 species